UCUGCAGGCCGUGACUGGCGUCUGAAGAUGGAUCACCAUCGGGGAGCGGCCUCGUCCACGUGACGUCAUGCCGUACGCCUGGGCUCUUGUG
rnacentral:ncRNA from 2 species